GCGUCCGUUUCGUUUCAGUCGAUCCCGAACAUCGCUUCGGGACGGCGAGUUGAGGUGUCGUUCCGCGAGGGGCGUCCCUUGAAGUGCGAA
rnacentral:misc_RNA from 1 species